AACAAGAUUCAGGUCGGCAGAUCAGGAACAAACAAAUUACAUUCAAUGCUCAGGACGAGGUUUAUAAAGCGAAGGUGAUUAGGAAUGGGAGACACAUGAGGGUAAAUGAGGGGAUUUCUUUUCUUGUUUUUUUAUGGUGUUUAAGAUCACCUGGGCCUUUGGGGGUGUUAUCCAUUCUCUGCUCACGUGACCUUCCUUGCUAUUCGUGAUUGGGAGUCUAUUUAUUCUGCCAUCUCCUCUUCCAUCAGGGGCAGCUUCUUCCAGGACACACCAACGCAAUUGCAUGGAAUUAUGUUUAUGAAUAAAG